CAUAGGUUUGGUCCUGGCCUUUCUAUUAAUUAUUAGUAAACUUACACAUGCAAGCAUCCCCGCCCCAGUGAGAAUGCCCUCUAAAUCAUAAAAUGAUAAAAAGGAGCAGGUAUCAAGCACACUACUAAGUAGCUCAUAACGCCUUGCUUAACCACACCCCCACGGGAAACAGCAGUGAUAAAAAUUAAGCUAUAAACGAAAGUUUGACUAAGUUAUACUAACACCCAGGGUUGGUAAAUUUCGUGCCAGCCACCGCGGUCAUACGAUUAACCCAAAUUAAUAGAUUUCCGGCGUAAAGUGUGUUUAAGAGAACAGACAAAAUAAAGAUAAAUACUAGUUAAGCUGUAAAAAGCCCCAGCUAUCAUAAAAUAAACAACGAAAGUGACUUUAAAAUAUCUGAAGACACGACAGCUAAGACCCAAACUGGGAUUAGAUACCCCACUAUGCUUAGCCAUAAACUCAAAAAAUUCAACAAACAAAAUUAUUCGCCAGAGUACUACUAGCAAAAGCUUAAAACUCAAAGGACUUGGCGGUGCUUUAUAUCCCUCUAGAGGAGCCUGUUCUGUAAUCGAUAAACCCCGAUAAACCUCACCAACCCUUGCUUAAUUCAGCCUAUAUACCGCCAUCUUCAGCAAACCCUAAAAAGGAAUUACAGUAAGCAUAAGUAUUAGACAUAAAUACGUUAGGUCAAGGUGUAGCUAAUGAGUUGGGAAGAAAUGGGCUACAUUUCCUGCCACAGGAUAAUUUACGAACAUCUCUGUGAAAUCAGAGAUCAAAGGUGGAUUUAGCAGUAAGUCAAGAAUAGAGAGCUUGACUGAAUAAGGCCAUGAAGCACGCACACACCGCCCGUCACCCUCCUCAAAUAUUGCUAAUAAUAUCAAUAAUAUAUAAUCAAAAAACAAGCUUAUAAGAGGAGAUAAGUCGUAACAAGGUAAGCGUACUGGAAAGUGCGCUUGGAUAACU
rnacentral:ncRNA from 1 species